CUUGUUCGCCUGAAAGAUCGCUCGGCUGCCCAAUCAGAGCACAGACACCGAUGCGCGCCGGAAGAGCGCUGCAGUAGCAGUAGAACACACGGGACCGAAAUGGCGUAGCGCGCAGUCCUCCGCCGCAGCAGCGAAGCGGGGCCAGGCUCACUGAACGUCUCAGAGCCUGGCCAGUCGUACUCAACUGACGAGUAUGAUGAAGGUGAUUUUAGUUCCAGUUCACUCGCUUCGAAACCAGCACGAGAUCACCGGAGACGUGCCCUUCAUAUGUCAUAUCAAGAAGAGAAAGGAACAGUGAUGAAAUUAACUCAUGACCCGAUGAGACCGUCAUGCCAUUGUUCUUCGAACUACUCUUCAUCCUGAUAAGUUGACAUUCCUCCAGCAUUAUUCAAGGGAAAUGUUUGUUCAGCAUACCAACUGUCAUUGGUCUAUGAACAUAUCAUCUCUACACUUUGGAGACAACAACUGAAGUAGUUUUUAUCCAUGAAAGAACCAUAAGCUCUUCAUGUCCAAAAAAAAGUAACACAAUUGUGCCACAGUACAGAGCCAUCCUCUGUUCAUAUUUGUUACAAAUAAAGUCCAGUCUAAUAUUUA